UACGGGGGGGGGCAAGCGUUGUUCGGAAUUACUGGGCGUAAAGGGCUCGUAGGUGGCCAACUAAGUCAGACGUGAAAUCCCUCGGCUUAACCGGGGAACUGCGUCUGAUACUGGAUGGCUUGAGUUCGGGAGAGGGAUGCGGAAUUCCCGGUGUAGCGGUGAAAUGCGCAGAUAUCGGGAAGAACACCCGUGGCGAAGGCGGUUCUCUGGGACGGUACUGACGCUGAGACGCGAAAGCGUGGGGAGCGAACAGG
rnacentral:rRNA from 1 species